GACUUCUUAUGUAAGAAUCAAUAAUCAGACCCGGAACUUCUUAGGGGACCCUCUACUAUAAUCUCUCAUAUACUCUGGUGAUGCCACCCGUUGGCGCCGUUCAGACCGUAACGUCCAUUAUCAAGGUCCAGAGAGUGCGACCCACAUUUACUUCUUUAUUCGGGAGAGCCUUUUGAUCAAUGAGAUUUGGUUCGACUUUGUGGUGUAGACUCCCAACGCAUGUGCCGACCCGGAAAA
rnacentral:lncRNA from 1 species